rnacentral:rRNA from 1 species
AUUGAACGCUGGCGGCAGGCCUAACACAUGCAAGUCGAGCGAGCGGCGGACGGGUGAGUAACGUAUGGAGACUGCCCGAUAGAGGGGGAUAACUACUGGAAACCGUGGCCUAUAACGCAUACUGUCGGAUUACUCAAAUGGGAUUAGCUAGUAGGUAAGGUAAUGGCUUUACUAGGCGACGAUCCCUAGCAGGUCUGAGAGGCUGAUCAGCCACACGGGGACUGAGACACGGCCCAGACUCCUACGGAGGCAGCAGUGGGGAAUAUUGCACAAUGGGCGCAAGCCUGAUGCAGCCAUGCCGCGUGUAUGAAGAAGGCCCUAGGGUUGUAAAGUACUUUCAGUCGGGAGGCGUUACCGACAGAAGAAGCACCGGCUAACUCCGUGCCAGCAGCCGCGGUAAUUC